UGGAGAGUUUGAUCCUGGCUCAGGACGAACGCUGGCGGCGUGCUUAACACAUGCAAGUCGAGCGGUAAGGCCUUUCGGGGUACACGAGCGGCGAACGGGUGAGUAACACGUGGGUGAUCUGCCCUGCACUUCGGGAUAAGCCUGGGAAACUGGGUCUAAUACCGGAUAUGACCUCCUAUCGCAUGGUGGGUGGUGGAAAGAUUUAUCGGUGCAGGAUGGGCCCGCGGCCUAUCAGCUUGUUGGUGGGGUAAUGGCCUACCAAGGCGACGACGGGUAGCCGACCUGAGAGGGUGACCGGCCACACUGGGACUGAGACACGGCCCAGACUCCUACGGGAGGCAGCAGUGGGGAAUAUUGCACAAUGGGCGAAAGCCUGAUGCAGCGACGCCGCGUGAGGGAUGACGGCCUUCGGGUUGUAAACCUCUUUCAGCAGGGACGAAGCGCAAGUGACGGUACCUGCAGAAGAAGCACCGGCUAACUACGUGCCAGCAGCCGCGG
rnacentral:rRNA from 2 species